rnacentral:rRNA from 1 species
UACGUAGGGGGCAAGCGUUGUCCGGAUUUAUUGGGCGUAAAGAGCGUGUAGGCGGUUAGGUAGGUCCGUUGUGAAAACUCGAGGCUCACCUCGAGACGCCGAUGGAAACCAUCUAACUAGAGUCCGGAAGAGGAGAGUGGAAUUCCUGGUGUAGCGGUGAAAUGCGCAGAUAUCAGGAAGAACACCCGUGGCUAAGGCGGCUCUCUAGUACGGUACUGACGCUGAGACGCGAAAGCGUGGGGAGCGAACAGG